rnacentral:rRNA from 1 species
UACGUAGGGUGCAAGCGUUUAUCCGGAAUUAUUGGGCGUAAAGAGCUCGUAGGCGGUUUGUCGCGUCUGCUGUGAAACUGGAGGCUCAACCUCCAGCCUGCAGUGGGUACGGGCAAACUAGAGUGCGGUAGGGGAGAUUGGAAUUCCUGGUGUAGCGGUGGAAUGCGCAGAUAUCAGGAGGAACACCGAUGGCGAAGGCAGAUCUCUGGGCCGUAACUGACGCUGGAGGAAGCGAAAGCGUGGGGAUCAAACAGG